GGGGAUUUUGCACAAUGGUAGAGCUCUUGCUUAGCAUGCAAGAGGCCCUGGUUGAAUCUCCA
rnacentral:tRNA from 1 species